rnacentral:rRNA from 1 species
UACGUAGGGUGCAAGCGUUAAUCGGAAUUACUGGGCGUAAAGCGUGCGCAGGCGGUUAUGCAAGACAGAUGUGAAAUCCCCGGGCUUAACCUGGGAACCGCAUUUGUGACUGCAUAGCUGGAGUACGGCAGAGGGGGAUGGAAUUCCGCGUGUAGCAGUGAAAUGCGUAGAUAUGCGGAGGAACACCGAUGGCGAAGGCAGUCCCCUGGGCCUGUACUGACGCUCAUGCACGAAAGCAUGGGGAGCAAACAGG